UCGACGGUGACGGAGGAGCUUGCUCCCCCUGAUCAGUGGCGAACGGGUGAGUAACACGUGAGUAACCUGCCCCAGACUCUGGGAUAACAUCGGGAAACCGGUGCUAAUACCGGAUAUGAGACGAGACUGCAUGGUCAUCGUCUGGAAAGAUUUAUCGGUCUGGGAUGGACUCGCGGCCUAUCAGCUAGUUGGUGAGGUAAUGGCUCACCAAGGCGACGACGGGUAGCCGGCCUGAGAGGGCGACCGGCCACACUGGAACUGAGACACGGUCCAGACUCCUACGGGAGGCAGCAGUGGGGAAUAUUGCACAAUGGGCGCAAGCCUGAUGCAGCAACGCCGCGUGGGGGAUGAAGGCCUUCGGGUUGUAAACCCCUUUUAGCAGGGAAGAAGCGAAAGUGACGGUACCUGCAGAAAAAGCGCCGGCUAACUACGUGCCAGCAGCCGCGGUAAUACGUAGGGCGCAAGCGUUGUCCGGAAUUAUUGGGCGUAAAGAGCUCGUAGGCGGUUUGUCGCGUCUGCUGUGAAAGUCCGAGGCUCAACCUCGGAUCUGCAGUGGGUACGGGCAGACUAGAGUGUGGUAGGGGAGACUGGAAUUCCUGGUGUAGCGGUGGAAUGCGCAGAUAUCAGGAGGAACACCAAUGGCGAAGGCAGGUCUCUGGGCCAUAACUGACGCUGAGGAGCGAAAGCGUGGGGAGCGAACAGGAUUAGAUACCCUGGUAGUCCACGCCGUANACGGUGGGCACUAGAUGUGGGGCNCUUUCCAUGAGUUCCGCGUCGCAGCUAACGCAUUAAGUGCCCCGCCUGGGGAGUA
rnacentral:rRNA from 1 species